UACGUAGGGUGCUAGCGUUGUCCGGAGUUACUGGGCGUAAAGCGCACGCAGGCGGUCUGCUAAGUUUGGAGUGACAGUUGGCGGCUUAACUGCCAAAGUGCUUCGAAAACUGACAGACUUGAGGGCUUCAGAGGGACACGGAAUUCCGGGUGGAGUGGUGAAAUGCGUAGAGAUCCGGAGGAACACCAAAGGCGAAGGCAGUGUCCUGGGGAGUACCUGACGCUCAGGUGCGAAAGCCAGGGGAGCGAACGGG
rnacentral:rRNA from 1 species